CGUUAAAUCAAAGAGUAAAUUGUUUGCACUGUUAAAAACUAGCAGGGCUAAUGGAAUAACCAAACAAUGAUACGUGCCAUGUGUACCUCAUACUGAUGUAAAAGGACUAAUUUUUAACAGUAAAAAUAGAUUGAUUUUUUUAACA
rfam:Gossypium hirsutum cultivar TM-1 unplaced genomic scaffold scaffold804.1, whole genome shotgun sequence